CUUAGUUUUCGACGUGUUUUGGU
ensembl:ncRNA